AUUUCUCUGGAGAGAAAAGAGGUUUAGGAAAGAAGGAGGGAAAUUGACAGGGAAGGUGAUACUGACACAGACUUUUAGCCUGAGAUAGUUAAGCAGGAGAUUGAGAAAUGAUACAUCUGAGAACCAGGACCAUAACCUUGGACUUCCUGACUCCCGGGUCAGCUGCCAUCCACUAUAUCAUGCUGCCUCUCUUCAGGGAGCCCAGGAGGAAAAUCACCAAGCAGCCCCAGGGAGUACUGGCAGCUUUCAGCAGAAACCCAAGUGCCCACUUCCCAAAAAAACAGUAGUGUUUCUUCUCUUCCCUUUCCAACAUAAACCUGUUACUUAC